GGGGCUGUGGCUCAGUGAAAGAUCCUCUGCUUUGCAUGGAGAAGGUCCCUGGUUCAAUCCCCAGCAUCUCCA
rnacentral:tRNA from 1 species